rnacentral:rRNA from 1 species
AUUUGUUAAAGAUUCAUCGCUGAUAGAUAGGCAUGCGUUCCAUUAGGCAGUUGGCGGGGUAACGGCCCACCAAACCGACGAUGGAUAGGGGUUCUGAGAGGAAGGUCCCCCACAUUGGUACUGAGACACGGACCAAACUCCUACGGGAGGCAGCAGUGAGGAAUAUUGGUCAAUGGGCGCGAGCCUGAACCAGCCAAGUCGCGUGAAGGAUGAAGGUUCUAUGGAUUGUAAACUUCUUUUAUAUGGGAAUAAAAUGCGGGACGUGUCCCGUUUUGUAUGUACCGUAUGAAUAAGCAUCGGCUAACUCCGUGCCAGCAGCCGCGGUAAUACGGAGGAUGCGAGCGUUAUCCGGAUUUAUUGGGUUUAAAGGGUGCGUAGGUCGUAAUUUAAGUCAGCGGUGAAAGUUUGUGGCUCAACCAUAAAAUUNGCCGUUGAAACUGGAUUACUUGAGUGUGUUUGAGGUAGGCGGAAUGCGUGGUGUAGCGGUGAAAUGCAUAGAUAUCACGCAGAACUCCGAUUGCGAAGGCAGCUUACUAAACCAUAACUGACACUGAAGCACGAAAGCGUGGGGAUCAAACAGGAUUAGAUACCCUGGUAGUCCACGCAGUAAACGAUGAUUACUAGGAGUUUGCGAUACAAUGUAAGCUCUACAGCGAAAGCGUUAAGUAAUCCACCUGGGGAGUACGCCGGCAACGGUGAAACUCAAAGGAAUUGACGGGGGCCCGCACAAGCGGAGGAACAUGUGGUUUAAUUCGAUGAUACGCGAGGAACCUUACCCGGGUUUGAACGCAUAUGGACCGGGGUGGAAACACCCCUUCUAGCAAUAGCCAUUUGCGAGGUGCUGCAUGGUUGUCGUCAGCUCGUGCCGUGAGGUGUCGGCUUAAGUGCCAUAACGAGCGCAACCCUUAUCACUAGUUACUAACAGGUCGUGCUGAGGACUCUGGUGAGACUGCCAGCGUAAGCUGUGAGGAAGGUGGGGAUGACGUCAAAUCAGCACGGCCCUUACAUCCGGGGCGAC